UGGGGGCCCUACGGGAGGCAGCAGUGGGGAAUAUUGCACAAUGGGCGAAAGCCUGAUGCAGCGACGCCGCGUGAGGGAUGACGGCCUUCGGGUUGUAAACCUCUUUCAGUAGGGAAGAAGCGCAAGUGACGGUACCUGCAGAAGAAGCGCCGGCUAACUACGUGCCAGCAGCCGCGGUAAUACGUAGGGCGCAAGCGUUGUCCGGAAUUAUUGGGCGUAAAGAGCUCGUAGGCGGUUUGUCGCGUCCGCUGUGAAAGCCCGGGGCUCAACCCCGGGUCGGCAGUGGGUACGGGCAGACUAGAGUGCAGUAGGGGAGACUGGAAUUCCUGGUGUAGCGGUGAAAUGCGCAGAUAUCAGGAGGAACACCGAUGGCGAAGGCAGGUCUCUGGGCUGUUACUGACGCUGAGGAGCGAAAGCAUGGGGAGCGAACAGGAUUAGAUACCCUGGUAGUCCAUGCCGUAAACGUUGGGCACUAGGUGUGGGGGACAUUCCACGUCCUCCGCGCCGUAGCUAACGCAUUAAGUGCCCCGCGCUGC
rnacentral:rRNA from 1 species